UUUUGACUCCGGUGUAAGACCAACUGUUUUGGAGCGAAAAAACGUAACCUAAAAAACUUUGUGUACCCAAUCAUGUGUUUUAUCAGAAACAGAGAUCUCGAUGGUUCCAUUGUUCAAGUCAUGUGGGCCAAGCCAAUAGCCAGAGCUUAUUUCAAUACACAAGCUACUAGCAUUAAUGGACUACUUCAGGAGACAACAUCAAACAUCACUGGAGCCCCUAUUAUAUCAUCUGUUGUGAAGAGUUGUAAACCCCACAGUUUUUCGUGCAAGGAUACCAACACUGCUUCACAGUCAUACACAUGGUUUGACACUGGAAAUGGCAAUUUAUUUCCAACUGUUUAUAAUUAUAUCACCCCAGCCAACACAAUGGAAAAUACUUCUUGGCCAGUGGACAGAGCUUGAAGUAUUCAUGAAAGCUGUCCGUUUUUUAUGGUCUCGUGCCAAGCACUCAAUGUGAAAACUGUCUACUGUUUAUUAUUCAUUUACUGGUAAGCCCACGAGUUAAUAUAUUAAAGUUUCUUUACUAUUUUACUGUAAUGUUACUAAAUGUUUUCCUGUAAACAGAAAAACACUAUCUGGCAUAGAAUGCUAGAUAGAAUCACGAUCAUGGUUUUAUGCUAUGCUAGAUAUUAUUUUAACUAGAACAGCACCAAAAGUUGCACUUUAUAGUUUCAUUAUUUUAAAACUUUGCAUUUUUUCAUAGUGAAAUUAUAUGUUACCAUAUGCCAGGUAUACCUAAGUUAGGCAUAGCAAGGCUUUGUAUUCAGCAUGAUUUUAUGCUUAUUGUCGUGUCAAUAUUUAUAUGUACAAAUUCCUAGUCAUGCAUAUAUCCUGUUAACAGUAACACUAAAAAUAUUGAAUGUUUUACCAUCUUACAAUCUGGUUUUGUUUAUUUUUUUUUGUUGUGUAGACUUUUCUCAAAUGUCAUUUAACUUUGAUAAUCCUUACAGUUCAAGUAUUACAGUUUCAUUUACAAACAAAAAGAUCUUGUUAUAUCAUAAAUAGAAAAAAAAUCAAGACAAUGUUUGCCAUGUUGCCUAAAGGCCAGUCUAUAGAUUUGAUGCUAAACAGUAAAUGCUAAACAUGACAGUAAACAAACUGGCGUGACUUCAACAAAUGUUGGACAGAAAAUGAAAAAAUUACUAAUGAAAUGGGAAGCAAGCAUUGACUGAUAAAAUUUUGUGAAGUUAUAUCGUCCUCAUAUUGUUUGCAUUUUUUGAUUCUUUUUGAACUACCAGCAGUUGCAAUGUAGCCUUUAGUUUAAUUUUUCUUGGAAUAACUGCAGGUCUAUGCAAAAAAAUAAAACUAAUUUAUGCACAGUGUUCUCUUACCCCUCUCCCCUACCCUUUUGUUCUUCUCUCUUUCUCUCCAUCUUACCAACAGUCAUACAACAAAUUUUCCUGAAACUGAAAAUCACUGCUUCCUCGAGGACCAAUAUAUUAGGCAAAAGACAGUUGUUAUUUGGUUUAUAGUCAUUUUGACUUACUUAUUGGCUGCACCUGCAUACAUACAAUGUUAUUUUAUUCAUAACAUGUAACGUUAUUCAGAACAUGAUUUUGAAGAAAGACUACGUAUUAACAUCUUUAACGUGGUGCGACUUCCGGAAAAUUUUUACAUAGUUUUUCGUGUCAUGCUCUAUAGACUACGCAACCAUUGUCAACUUAUUUAUUAUUUCCAAACUGUUAAAUAAAUUAAAGUAAUGGAAAAUCUCGGUCGAGUUCGUUAAUAGACAAAGAGGUAAAACUGGGUAAGGUUUUUUAAAGACAGAAAAAUUGCUAUAGCUCUCUUAAUAUGAUAAAUAUUUCAUAUGUGUGAAGUUAUUAUCUCUCAUAAGAGUAAUAUCAAAAACUUUUGUCCAAAUGAAUUUUUGAUACUACCAACCAUAACUGCAAAGCGUAGAAAAAUAGAGUUUGGAGGACGAAACAAAUUCAUAAUGCCUUUUGUAGGCACACCAUCAAAUCAGUUUCAAUUGUUUGUAGACCUUGAGAAUAUUGUCUAAAACAAUUUUUGAUCAGAUGAACUAUUGCUCCAAGGGGUUUAAAAAAUAAAAAAAUAAAAACAGUUGUAACUUAACAAAAAUUAAUAGUUUUUAUACUAUGUACACUAUCAAAUUUGUUCUUGUUUAUUGUAAACCUUAUAAAUAUUGUCUAAAAUGUUAAUCUGAAAUAAUUUUGGGAUACAAUCAACCAUUGCCUCAAAUGGUAGAAAAAGCACGGGUUGAAAUAAAAUAAAAAUUAAGAAGUUCUGUACCAUGUUCAUUAUAAUUUAAGCAUUAUCUAAAACUCUUGUCUGAAAUACAUUUUGAUAUGACUAACCAUUACUACAAAGGGUGAAAAUUACAAUGGUUAAAGGAUAAAAUAAAUCAGUACUGUAUUAGGCAACUAUGAAAUCCAUUAUAAUUUAUUGUAAUAAUCCUAAAAACUAUCUAUAACUUUGGGCUUAAAUAAUUUUGAGUGAAAUUAACUAUUGGUACAAAAGGUUGAAAAACAGGGUUGGAGAUAAAAAAAUUUAAAGCUACAGACACUAUUAAAUUCAUUCAAACUAUUGUAAACCAUCUAAACAAUAUUUUAAACCUUGAUCCAAAACAAAUUUUUAUAGGAUCUCUUAUAGUGCAAGGAAUGAAAUAUAGUUUUUGAAGAUGAAAACAAAUGCACAACUACUUUAGUAGGCAUAGUAUAAAUGAUAAAGUUUGUGUUGUCAAUGCUGGAUGCAUUGAAUUAAAAAUAUAUAUAACAUUUUUGCUGCAUGGGUAUGAAAAAAUGGUUAAUCUGUCAAUUUGGAAUAUUGGAGACCAUAUGUAUGUUAUGUCCAUUGAGUUCAUUCCAGAAGUUUCCAGAACAUUUCAGAAAAAAUAGGUACUUAUAAAUCUACUUGUUUUUUUAGGCUGAUGAAAGGGACUUUUUCAUGUUUUAAGACCAAAAUGGUUUAAAUUUCAGUAAUUGGUUUGAUUUACAAAAAUAUAUAUAUAUAUUUUUUUUUAAUUCAAAAAAGCUUUAGGUGAGCACUGUGAAAGGUAAGAAAUGGGGAAGAUGUAUCUCCAGGAACUGCACCAAAAUACCGGAACAGAAAUUUUGAUACCAAAAAUGUUGGUUGCCUGACUUUAAAAAGCACCCUUAGCACCAGGCAUGAUUUUUAAGGGAUUGACUGUGUUGCCGGCCAUCACCGCAUGCAUCAUCAUAAGGAAUCAGUCAUCUGUCACUAUCGUGCACUCUCAUCACCUAUUCAAAUAUAUGUCAAAUGCUUUUGCUAACAGGCAAAGCAUAGCAAACAAUUGUGAAGAAUUGAAAUGUGUAAAAAAAAAAAAAACAUGAUACAUGUGUUUCUUGAUAUUAUAUAUGUGUGGUCCUGUGUAUGCAUAAUUUGGUACUCAUCCACAGUAUAGCCAUGUAAGGUCAAAAUUAAAGUCAUAAUUUUUGGCACCCUAAAAUGUAACCAUAUAAAGUAUGUAACUAUGUAAUUUAAGUCACAUGAGAUCAUGUACAGAAGAACCUUUUACAUUCCUGGUUGGCCUGGCAACACAAUCCAGAAUAAUAACAAAUUACAUUUAAAACACUUGAAAAAAUUAUAAGUUACAUCUUUAAUACCAUUUUGAGCAAGCUUCCGCUGCCACAUGUUGCGACGAUCAAGCGACAACUUUACAAUGUCGACUGACGACUGACCACGCAGUUACUUUCCCUUUUCAAAGACAAAAAAAAGGGGAGGCAACCCCGUGGGCCAACAGACCAAUCACAUUACAGAAUGUUUCUCUUUAAAAGUCUGAAGAUACAUCACCCCACCUCAAGGCUCGCCCUGAUUGGCUGGCGAGACUGCGUCCAGUGAAAGUUCAAGUUUAUUGCUGCCCAGUCAUGCGUCCACAUGCUGGGUUUUUCCAACAACACACUAACUUGCGUGAAAAAUAACUUGCCAGUGACAGUGUGUCGCACCUGUGUCUUCCGCUCUUUCAAAACCUUCUAGAAUGUUCUCGAAUGGUCCAUACAGUCUGUCUACCCAGAAUAUGCACCUUAAAAUUUAAACAAAACAUAAUUAAUACAAGUUAAUGUUAAUUAUAAUUGAUAAAGUAAACAAACAAUAAUAAAACACUACAUUCAGCUUUACACAAAAUAUAACCCAAAAA